rnacentral:rRNA from 1 species
GUAGGGAAUCUUCCACAAUGGACGAAAGUCUGAUGGAGCAACGCCGCGUGAACGAUGAAGGCUUUCGGGUCGUAAAGUUCUGUUGUAAGGGAAGAACAAGUGCCGCAGGCAAUGGCGGCACCUUGACGGUACCUUGCGAGAAAGCCACGGCUAACUACGUGCCAGCAGCCGCGGUAAUACGUAGGUGGCAAGCGUUGUCCGGAAUUAUUGGGCGUAAAGCGCGCGCAGGCGGCCCCUUACGUCUGAUGUGAAAGCCCCCGGCUCAACCGGGGAGGGCCAUUGGAAACUGGGAGGCUUGAGUAUAGGAGAGAAGAGUGGAAUUCCACGUGUAGCGGUGAAAUGCGUAGAGAUGUGGAGGAACACCAGUGGCGAAGGCGACUCUUUGGCCUAUAACUGACGCUGAGGCGCGAAAGCGUGGGGAGCAAACAGGAUUAGAUACCCGAGUAGUCC